GACGAACGCUGGCGGCGUGCUUAACACAUGCAAGUCGAGCGGUAAGGCCCUUUCGGGGGUACGACGAGCGGCGAACGGGUAGGAGUAACAACGUGGGUGGACCUCGCCCUCCAGCUCUGGGAGUAAAGCCUCGGGAAACCGGGGUACCGUAAUAACUGGAGUAAUGACUCCCAUGACGCGUGUUGUGGGGUGGAAAGCCUUGUGCGGCUGAGGAUGGGCCCGGCGGCCUAUCAGCUUGUUGGUGGGGUGAUGGCCUACCAAGGCGACGACGGUAGCCGGCCUGAGAGGGCGACCGGCCACACUGGGACUGAGACACGGCCCAGACUCCUACGGGAGGCAGCAGUGGGGAAUCUUGCGCAAUAGGGCGAAAGCCUGACGCAGCGACGCCGCGUGAGGGAUGACGGCCU
rnacentral:rRNA from 1 species